GUAUGGAAACCUACUAAGUGAUAACUUUCAAAUUCAGGGAAACCCCGGAAUUCACAAAAAUGGGCAAUCCUGAGCCAAAUCCUGUUUUCUCAAAAGAAAGGUUCAGAAAACGAAAAAAAAAAGGAUAGGUCCAGAGACUCAAUGGAAGCUGUUCUAACAAAUGGGGGCACCGGCAGAGGAAUCUUUCCACCAAAACGUCAGAAAGGAUCAAAACCCAUCUUUUUUUUACUAUAAAAAAAAUGAUUAAUAUUAAUAAUGGCCCGAAUCUCUAGAUGUUUUUUUUAUAUGAAAAAUCGAAGCAGGAUUGGUGUGAAUUCAUUCGACAUUCACGAAAAAAUAAAAUUUUGAUUCAUCAAAUCAUUCACUCCAUAGUCCGAUAAACCUUUUAAAGAACUGAUCACUCGGACAAGAAUAAAGAUAGAGUCCCUUCUACAUGUCAAUACCGGCAACAAUGAAAUUUAUAGUAAGAGGAAAAUCCGUUGACUUUUUAAAUCGUGAGGGUUCAAGUCCCUCUAUCCCCAUAAGUCCCUCUAUCCCCAAAAACCUUUAUCCUAUCCCUUUUUUUAGUGGUUCUCCUUUAUCUUUCUCAUUCUUUUAGAAACGUAUUGGGGCGUAAAUGACUUUAUCUUAUCACAUGUGAUAUAGAAUGCACAUACAAAUUAAGCAAGGAAUCCCUAUGUGAAUGAUUCACAAUCAAUAGCAUUACUCACACUGAAACUUACAAAGACGUCUUUUUGAAAAUGUAAGAAAUUACUACAGGACUUGAGCAAAACUUUGCAAUCCCCCCUUGUACCUUUAAUUGACAUAGACCCCAGUCAUCUCAUAAAAUGAGCAUGGGAUGCUACAUUGGAAAUGGUCGGGAUAGCUCAGCU
rnacentral:misc_RNA from 1 species